rnacentral:rRNA from 1 species
UACGGAGGGGGCUAGCGUUGUUCGGAAUUACUGGGCGUAAAGCGCACGUAGGCGGCUUUGCAAGUCAGAGGUGAAAGCCCGGGGCUCAACCCCGGAAUUGCCUUUGAGACUGCAUCGCUAGAAUUGUGGAGAGGUAAGUGGAAUUCCGAGUGUAGAGGUGAAAUUCGUAGAUAUUCGGAGGAACACCGGUGGCGAAGGCGGUUCUCUGGGCCGAUACUGACGCUGAGGAGCGAAAGCGUGGGGAGCGAACAGG